rnacentral:misc_RNA from 1 species
GAAAAACUGUAAGCAAGCUGAUACAAAUUAGAUUACGGUAUUUCUUUCACUUCAUCUUUUUCUUUGUGAUUUCAUGGGGUGCAAAAAAUCAGAAAUGGAUUUCUGUGUUAUUAAUAUCAAAAUGUGUUUUUUUCUAUCUUCUAAAACUUUUCUAAUAAGAAGUGAAAGUGAAUAUCCAAACAGCAACUACACCACUUUAUCAUUUACAAAGCACCAACCAACAACUACAAUGGAACAACCUCAGGUACGACCGGUGGUGAUCCGUUAUCUUCUACAGUCUUAUUUUCGGGGUUAACUUUGGUUUCUUUGUUCUCUUCUUCGAAUCCUUGCUUGAAUAUAUCAUAGUUUGUGGGCUCGUGGCUCUUGAAUGGGCGUUCACCCAAUACUCGAACCAAAUCUUCUUGAUGAAGAACCUCUUUCUCAAGUAGUAACU